GGGACGGUAGCAUAACGGCAAAUGCGCAAACAAACUCUUGUCUUCGAUCUCAGUUCGAAUCUGAGCCGUUCCA